rnacentral:rRNA from 1 species
AUACGGGGGUUGCAAGCGUUAUUCGGAUUUAUUGGGCGUAAAGGGCGCGUAGGCGGCUUGGUAAGUCAGAUGUGAAAGCCCGGGGCUCAACCCCGGAAGUGCAUUUGAAACUAUCAGGCUUGAGUAUGGGAGAGGGAAGUGGAAUUCCUGGUGUAGAGGUGAAAUUCGUAGAUAUCAGGAGGAACACCGGUGGCGAAGGCGACUUCCUGGACCAAUACUGACGCUGAGGCGCGAAGGCGUGGGGAGCAAACAGGAUUAGAUACCCGAGUAGUCC